rnacentral:rRNA from 1 species
GAUGAACGCUGGCGGCGUGCCUAAUACAUGCAAGUCGAGCGAACAGACGAGGAGCUUGCUCCUUUGACGUUAGCGGCGGACGGGUGAGUAACACGUGGGUAACCUACCUAUAAGACUGGGAUAACUUCGGGAAACCGGAGCUAAUACCGGAUAAUAUUUCGAACCGCAUGGUUCGAUAGAGAAAGAUGGCUUUGCUAUCACUUAUAGAUGGACCUGCGCCGUAUUAGCUAGUUGGUAAGGUAACGGCUUACCAAGGCAACGAUACGUAGCCGACCUGAGAGGGUGAUCGGCCACACUGGAACUGAGACACGGUCCAGACUCCUACGGGAGGCAGCAGUAGGGAAUCUUCCGCAAUGGGCGAAAGCCUGACGGAGCAACGCCGCGUGAGUGAUGAAGGUCUUCGGAUCGUAAAACUCUGUUAUUAGGGAAGAACAAACGUGUAAGUAAUUGUGCACGUCUUGACGGUACCUAAUCAGAAAGCCACGUCUAACUACGUG